rnacentral:rRNA from 1 species
GGUAACUCCGGUGCAGGAGCCGCGGUAAUACGGAGGGUGCAAGCGUUAAUCGGAAUUACUUGGCGUAAAGCGUUCGCAGGCGGCUUAUUAAGUCAGAUGUGAAAUCCCUAGGCUCAACCUAGGAACUGCAUUUGAAACUAAUAAACUAUAGUAGCGUAGAGGGAGGUAGAAUUCCAGGUGUAGCGGUGAAAUGCGUAGAUAUCUGGAGGAAUACCAGUGGCGAAGGCGACCUCCUGGACGAAAACUGACGCUCAAGCACGAAAGCAUGGGGAGCAAACAGGAUUAGAUACCCGUGUAGUC